GCCCAAUGAAUUUUGCAAAGGACCAAAGGUUUUUCGAAUGAGUUUCGUAGUCUGUAAUUUUUGUGAUUUUAUCCAGGAAAUAUAGGAGCUGUGGUGAUGAAAUUUUCCAACACAAAAGAAAAAGACAUAGAAGCAGUAGGGUAAUCAAAUACUGGCUGAAGUCUCCAAAAACUCGGUUCACCAGCAAAGAGAAAUCUACAAAUGUUCAAACACUGGAUCCUGGAGGAAAAUCUGAAUGCUACAAGAAUUGAGAUUGAAUUGAGGUGCAGUAACAUAGACCAGUAGGCCUAUGUAGCUCAAAAAAUUGCUACUUUAAACAGGAAGAGAUCAAAGUAUUCUGGAGCACCACAAUAAGGACCUUUCUUAAAAGAUAAAUGACAUGCAUAUGAGUUAUUUUAAUAAACAAACUUCUCACAUUA
rnacentral:lncRNA from 1 species